rnacentral:rRNA from 1 species
ACCGGCGCACGGGUGAGUAACGCGUACACAACCUACCUUUAAGAGGGGGAUAGCCUCGGGAAACUGAGAUUAAUACCCCAUGUGAUUACGAUUUAUAAUGAUAUUGUAAUUAAAGGCUUCGGCUGCUUAGAGAUGGGUGUGCGUCCCAUUAGCUAGUUGGUAAGGUAACGGCUUACCAAGGCGACGAUGGGUAGGGGGCGUGAGAGCGUGACCCCUCACACGGGUACUGAGACACGGACCCGACUCCUACGGGAGGCAGCAGUAAGGAAUAUUGGACAAUGGGCGCAAGCCUGAUCCAGCCAUCCCGCGUGUAGGAUGACUGCCCUAUGGGUUGUAAACUACUUUUAUCAGGGAAGAAACCCUCGGAUUUAUCUGGGGCUGACGGUACCUGAAGGAUAAGCACCGGCUAACUCCGUGCCAGCAGCCGCGGUAAUACGGAGGGUGCAAGCGU